AUACGAAAGGUGCAAGCGUUGUUCGGAUUUACUGGGCGUAAAGAGAGUGUAGGUUGUUUAUUAAGUCGGAUGUGAAAUCCCGGGGCUCAACCUCGGAACUGCAUUCGAUACUGAUAGGCUAGAGUUUGGGAGGGGUAAGCGGAAUUCCGUGUGUGGCAGUGAAAUGCGUAGAUAUACGGAGGAACACCUGAGGCGAAGGCGGCUUACUGGACCAAUACUGACACUGAGACUCGAAAGCGUGGGUAGCAAACAGGAUUAGAAACCCCAGUAGUCC
rnacentral:rRNA from 1 species